GCCAGCAUGGUGUAGUGGUUUAAUCGUUGGACUAGGACUCUGGAGACCAGGAUUCGAAUCCUGGCUUGGCU
rnacentral:tRNA from 1 species